rnacentral:rRNA from 1 species
GUGUCAGCAGCCGCGGUAAUACGGAGGGUGCGAGCGUUGUCCGGAUUUAUUGGGUUUAAAGGGUGCGUAGGUGGCUUGUUAAGUCAGUGGUGAAAUACAGCCGCUCAACGGUUGAGGUGCCAUUGAUACUGAUAAGCUUGAAAGAAUUGGAGGCUGCCGGAAUGGAUGGUGUAGCGGUGAAAUGCAUAGAUAUCAUCCAGAACACCGAUUGCGAAGGCAGGUGGCUACGAUUUAUUUGACACUGAGGCACGAAAGCAUGGGGAGCAAACAGGAUUAGAUACCCUAGUAGUCC